rnacentral:rRNA from 1 species
UGGAAUGAGUCUUCGCCCAAAAGCCAUUUGGAUCAUGCUUUCAAGUGGCGCCCAAGGAUGGGGCCGCGACUGAUCAGGUUGUUGGUGAGGUAAUGGCCCACCAAGCCUAUAACCGGUGCGGGCCGUGAGAGCGGGAGCCCGGAGAUGGGCACUGAGACAAGGGCCCAGGUCCUACGGGGCGCAGCAGUCGCGAAAACUUUGCAAUACACGAAAGUGUGACAGGGUCAUCCCGAGUGCCGACCGCUGAGGUUGGCUUUUACCCAGUCUAGAAAGCUGGGGGAAUAAGGAGAGGGCAAGUCUGGUGUCAGCCGCCGCGGUAAUACCAGCUCUCCGAGUGGUGUGGACGUUUAUUGGGCCUAAAGCAUCCGUAGCUGGCUGAACAAGUCCCCUGUUAAACCCACCGAUUUAAUCGUUGGCUUGCGGGGGAUACUGCUCGGCUAGGGGACGAGAGAGGCAGACGGUAUUCCCGGGGUAGGGGUGAAAUCCUAUAAUCCCGAGAAGACCACCAGUGGCGAAGGCUGUCUGCUAGAACGCGCCCGACGGUGAGGGAUGAAAGCUGGGGGAGCGAACCGGAUUAGAUACCCGGGUAGUCCCAGCUGUAAACGAUGCAGACUAGGUGUUUGGACGGCCACGUGCCGUUCUAGUGCCGCAGGGAAGCUGUUAAGUCUGCCGCCUGGGGAGUACGAUCGCAAGAUUGAAACUUAAAGGAAUUGGCGGGGGAGCACCACAAGGGGUGAAGCUUGCGGUUUAAUUGGAGUCAACGCCGGG